GUGGCUAACUUUACUGCAAUGACCAUAUUUCUUCUUCUCAUGGGGUUUUCCAGAAAUUCUCAGGUAGAAAUAAUUUUCUCAACUUUAGCCUUGGUGGUAUUAAUUGGCACUAUCUCCAUUGUUGCUGUUACUUCUCUGAGUAUUGUCUCUGUUCACUUAUGCCUUUUCUCUUGAUACAUCUCUUCUGUUUUGAUGUCUGCUACAUUUCUGUGAUGAUGCCGAAGUCUGUCUGCAGCUCUUUCAUGUACAGUGCCUACAUUUCCCCAUAGAAUGCACACUGCCAGGUUUUCUACUCACAAUCUAGUUAUACUGCCAUGGCCAUACUCACAGUCAUGUCCUAUGACUGUUAUAUGGCUGUGUGGCACAAAGUCAUCACAAAUGUCAGCACAUGUAUUCAUGGGGUGUUAGCUGUCUUGGUCAAUGUGAUGUGAAAUUAUCUUUGGAGUUAUGCACACAACUCUUACGUCUCCAUUUACACUGUGGGACCAGUACCAUUCGAUAAUUCUGUGAUGUUCUCUUGGUUCUGAAACUCUCUUUUACAAAUGAUCAUGUAAAUGAACUUGAAUCACUGGCUUUCUCAUCUGUGGAGGGCAGAACCAGUCUUUUUGACUUGUUUAGGCCACGUAUCUGUAGGUAGUUUGUUUAACCCUCCCGGUGUCUUUGAGUUUCUAAACCCAUAUUCAGAAUCUCCAACUUCAUUAGACAUAAUUGUUAAGUUUUCAUACUUCCCCAAACACUCAGUGUAGAAAUCUACAGUCUGAGUAAUGAGGCCAUAGACACAGCCUGAAGGAAGUUUUUUUUCCAAAGAAAAACGUCUCUUUCUAUCCCCAUUAUUUCCU
rnacentral:lncRNA from 1 species